CUGGGAGCAGUCCGCCGCCUCCCUCCGAGCGCAGGACGCUCCGACGCCCGCCUGCCCGCAGGCCACCGCAGGUUAGGAAUUGCACAGCAAGAUGGCUUUCCCAACUCCACCAUGGCUAGAGCCUCCUCUGCAGGGGCUGAAUCCCAUUGACCUUGGCUUCAUUUGGAUACAUUUCAAGGGUGAGCCACACAUUCCUUGGAAACUGAUAAAUGUCUACAACAGCUUCUGGUACCCAGUGUUCUCAGUCACUUUACAAAGAUCAUGGAUGUACCUUCCAGUUUGCUUCGGGUUUGCAGCCACCACUCAGGAGACCCUGCAUUCCCUACUUGUCCCCCUUGCCAGCAAACAUCAGAGAGGAGCAGGCUGGAGCCAGAGGUAGCAGGCCCUGUGCCUCAGCAGCUGACUGGCCAGGUGCAUUUUGAAGACCACAGGACAAGGUUUCCUAAGAAGGCCCCUGCCCUUUGAUAGUGUUUUGCCUGCGUGAGUGAACGAAGACUGGUUCUGAUGGGUUGAAAAGUCUUCCUGCUGGGAGCAAACCAAGUCUCUGCGUGUGCCAGUAUCUACACUGCCCCUUUCAGCAGUGAGAAUCCAGACAAGACUUCACGAAUGCCUUGCCGGGCAGCUGGGGUGCAUUCAAAGCUGAGAACCUACCCUAAUCUUUGCAAAACCAACAAAGAUAAGCAACAGCUUUAGCCGGCUGAACCGAGCUGACGCUCUGCUGCACAAUGCCCUUGUGACCAUUAUCCCAGCUCUGACCGCCGCAUGGCACUGCUCGAGCAUGCUGGCAAUAUUUAACAAGCCAUCUGUCUUGUACCUGUUCCCACCGCAGA